rnacentral:rRNA from 1 species
GACGAAGGUGGCGAGCGUUACUCGGAAUUACUAGGCGUAAAGCGUGGGUAGGUGGCUUAGCAAGUCUGUUGUGAAAGCUCCCGGCUUAACCGGGAGAGGCCAAUGGAUACUGCUAGGCUUGAAUCUGGGAGAGGUCACUGGAAUUCCUGGUGUAGCGGUGAAAUGCGUAGAGAUCAGGAGGAACACCAAUGGCGAAAGCAGGUGACUGGACCAGUAUUGACACUCAGCCACGAAAGCUAGGGGAGCAAACAGG